UACAGAGGGUGCAAGCGUUAAUCGGAAUUACUGGGCGUAAAGCGAGCGUAGUCGGUUAUUUAAGUCGGAUGUGAAAUCCCCGGGCUCAACCUGGGAAUUGCAUUCGAUACUGGAUAGCUAGAGUUCGGCAGAGGGAAGCGGAAUUUCUGGUGUAGCGGUGAAAUGCGUAGAUAUCAGAAGGAACAUCAGUGGCGAAAGCGGCUUCCUGGACCAGAACUGACGAUCAGGUUCGAAAGCGUGGGGAGCAAACAGG
rnacentral:rRNA from 1 species